GAGAAAACGUGAGGCUGAGGUCGAAAGUAGAAUUCCUUGAAGGUGGAUUCUCUGGACCAGUCCGCCAUUCUCAUAAGGUCUUCCAGGCGUGCCCCCGAAGAGGCCAUAGAAGUGGCUGAAGCCCCACGUGUGGAGUGGGCGCUAAAAAUGGAUGUGUCUACACCCGCCUGUGACAUGACCCACUUCACCCAACGAGCCAGAGUCGUGCUGGAUACUGGGGAGAAGGGUUGACGGAUUGAGAGGAAAAGUUGAGGAGUUGAAGCCGACCGAU